rfam:Reticulomyxa filosa solexa3714165_1.exp, whole genome shotgun sequence.
CCUGGUGGCUAUGGCGAGGGGGCUGGACCCGAUCCCAUUCCGAACUCGGCCGUCAAAACCCUCAGCGCCGAUGGUACUUCGUCUCAAGACGCGGGAGAGUAGGUCGCUGCCAGGC